UACGUAGGGUGCGAGCGUUAAUCGGAAUUACUGGGCGUAAAGCGCGCGCAGGCGGCACUGUAAGUAAGGUGCGAAAUAUCCCUGCUCAACGGGGAGGGUGCACUUUAGACUGCAGAGCUAGAGGACGGUAGAGGGGGGUGGAAUUGCUGGUGUAGCGGUGAAAUGCGUAGAGAUCAGCAGGAACACCCGUGGCGAAGGCGGCCCCCUGGGCCGAACCUGACGCUGAGGCGCGAAGGCUAGGGGAGCGAACGGG
rnacentral:rRNA from 1 species